UGCUGAGAUUACAGGCAUGAGCCACCGCGCCCAGCCAUGGAGCUUACAUUCUAACAAUGGAGACAGAUAUUAAACAAAAUCGACAACAUACUACAAGAUGACAGCCACCUACAAGCCAGGAAGAGGCCUCAGAAUUAAACCCACUUUACCAGCACCUUAAUCUUGGACAUCCCAACCUCCCAGCUGACUAUGACAGGUGUCACUGUUAAAAGAAACAUGCUGACGUACUUAGAGGCCGCUUAAGUGCCCUUAUAUGAGGGCAUGGCAGUUGGCUUUCCAGAUUAAAAGAACCCAGGAACAGAGCAAGGAGGAAGACACAAGGCCUUUUACGACCUAGUCUUGGAAGUUGCACACCUUCGCUUCUGACACGUUCUAGUAUCAGUGAAUCACUAAGGCCACCCCACACUCAGGAGGAAGGGAGGUAAGCUGUGUCCCAAAUUGGUGAGUUCUUGGUCUGACUUCAAGAAUGAAGCCACAGACCCUCGGGGUGAGUGUUACACUUCUUAAAGGCAACGUAUCCGGAGUUUGUUCCUUCUCAUGUUCAGAUGUGUUCAGAGUUUUUCCCUUCUGGUGGGUUCGUG